GCCGCGAUGGCACAACCCGGUACUGCGCAAGCCUGGAAAGCUUGUUCCCGUAAGGGUAUCCCAGUUCAAAUCUGGGUCGCGGCG
rnacentral:tRNA from 1 species